GCACACAGAAACCAGAUGCACUGUGGGACCCUGAGGGGUCUGGGGUGCUGAAAGUAGGCAGAAGUGGGCUGUGACAGGAGAUACUUGGAGAUGCCUGUGCUGUGGCUGCUGUUUCUGCUGCCGCUCCUGCCCCUGCUGGCCAUGCUCUGCCAGCAGAGAUCUCCGGGUGCCAGACCAUGCUGGCUGAUCAGUCUCCAGCACCGGGUGGCUUGCGUGGUGCUGAGCUGGGCAGCCGCCUGGCAGCGGCGGAAACUAGAACAGAGCACACUGAACGUGAGCCAGAGCCAGCAGCAGGCCCUCAUGGGGUGUCUGAAGGAAGCCCAGGGUUCCUGCUGUCUCCCCAGGGAGAACACAGGUGUGUUUCUGGCACCUGGGGGAGGUGACCCAAUGAGAGGAGAUGACCCACAAGACAGCCAGACUCUAGAACCCAAAUACCACCAAUAUGAUGUGGCCUAGCGCAGAG
rnacentral:lncRNA from 1 species